GUGUACGUACAAGCAGUGGGAGCACAGGUUUACCUGUGUGACUGCGUACCUUUUGUAUAAUGGGUCAGCGACUUAUAUUCUGUAGCAAGGUUAACCGAAUAGGGGAGCCGGAGGGAAACCGAGUCUUAAUUGGGCGUUAAGUUGCAGGGUAUAGACCCGAAACCCGGUGAUCUAGCCAUGGGCAGGUUGAAGGUUGGGUAACACUAACUGGAGGACCGAACCGACUAAUGUUGAAAAAUUAGCGGAUGACCUGUGGCUGGGGGUGAAAGGCCAAUCAAACCGGGAGAUAGCUGGUUCUCCCCGAAAGCUAUUUAGGUAGCGCCUCGUGAAUUCAUCUCCGGGGGUAGAGCACUGUUUCGGCUAGGGGGCCAUCCCGGCUUACCAACCCGAUGCAAACUGCGAAUACCGGAGAAUGUUAUCACGGGAGACACACGGCGGGUGCUAACGUCCGUCGUGAAGAGGGAAACAACCCAGACCGCCAGCUAAGGUCCCAAAGUCAUGGUUAAGUGGGAAACGAUGUGGGAAGGCCCAGACAGCCAGGAUGUUGGCUUAGAAGCAGCCAUCAUUUAAAGAAAGCGUAAUAGCUCACUGGUCGAGUCGGCCUGCGCGGAAGAUGUAACGGGGCUAAACCAUGCACCGAAGCUGCGGCAGCGACGCUUAUGCGUUGUUGGGUAGGGGAGCGUUCUGUAAGCCUGUGAAGGUGGCCUGUGAGGGUUGCUGGAGGUAUCAGAAGUGCGAAUGCUGACAUAAGUAACGAUAAAGCGGGUGAAAAGCCCGCUCGCCGGAAGACCAAGGGUUCCUGUCCAACGUUAAUCGGGGCAGGGUGAGUCGACCCCUAAGGCGAGGCCGAAAGGCGUAGUCGAUGGGAAACAGGUUAAUAUUCCUGUACUUGGUGUUACUGCGAAGGGGGGACGGAGAAGGCUAUGUUGGCCGGGCGACGGUUGUCCCGGUUUAAGCGUGUAGGUGUGUGUUCCAGGUAAAUCCGGUUCACUUUAACACUGAGGCGUGAUGACGAGGCACUACGGUGCUGAAGCAACAAAUGCCCUGCUUCCAGGAAAAGCCUCUAAGCAUCAGGUAACAUCAAAUCGUACCCCAAACCGACACAGGUGGUCAGGUAGAGAAUACCAAGGCGCUUGAGAGAACUCGGGUGAAGGAACUAGGCAAAAUGGUGCCGUAACUUCGGGAGAAGGCACGCUGACACGUAGGUGAAGUGAUUUACUCACGGAGCUGAAGUCAGUCGAAGAUACCAGCUGGCUGCAACUGUUUAUUAAAAACACAGCACUGUGCAAACACGAAAGUGGACGUAUACGGUGUGACGCCUGCCCGGUGCCGGAAGGUUAAUUGAUGGGGUCAGCGCAAGCGAAGCUCCUGAUCGAAGCCCCGGUAAACGGCGGCCGUAACUAUAACGGUCCUAAGGUAGCGAAAUUCCUUGUCGGGUAAGUUCCGACCUGCACGAAUGGCGUAAUGAUGGCCAGGCUGUCUCCACCCGAGACUCAGUGAAAUUGAACUCGCUGUGAAGAUGCAGUGUACCCGCGGCAAGACGGAAAGACCCCGUGAACCUUUACUAUAGCUUGACACUGAACAUUGAGCCUUGAUGUGUAGGAUAGGUGGGAGGCUUUGAAGUGUGGACGCCAGUCUGCAUGGAGCCGACCUUGAAAUACCACCCUUUAAUGUUUGAUGUUCUAACGUGGACCCGUAAUCCGGGUUGCGGACAGUGUCUGGUGGGUAGUUUGACUGGGGCGGUCUCCUCCUAAAGAGUAACGGAGGAGCACGAAGGUUGGCUAAUCCUGGUCGGACAUCAGGAGGUUAGUGCAAUGGCAUAAGCCAGCUUGACUGCGAGCGUGACGGCGCGAGCAGGUGCGAAAGCAGGUCAUAGUGAUCCGGUGGUUCUGAAUGGAAGGGCCAUCGCUCAACGGAUAAAAGGUACUCCGGGGAUAACAGGCUGAUACCGCCCAAGAGUUCAUAUCGACGGCGGUGUUUGGCACCUCGAUGUCGGCUCAUCACAUCCUGGGGCUGAAGUAGGUCCCAAGGGUAUGGCUGUUCGCCAUUUAAAGUGGUACGCGAGCUGGGUUUAGAACGUCGUGAGACAGUUCGGUCCCUAUCUGCCGUGGGCGCUGGAGAACUGAGGGGGGCUGCUCCUAGUACGAGAGGACCGGAGUGGACGCAUCACUGGUGUUCGGGUUGUCAUGCCAAUGGCACUGCCCGGUAGCUAAAUGCGGAAGAGAUAAGUGCUGAAAGCAUCUAAGCACGAAACUUGCCCCGA
rnacentral:rRNA from 1 species